rnacentral:lncRNA from 1 species
CAUGAUUCUUUUUUACCACUUCAAUCCUCAAAACAAUUUAAGAGAUAAUAACUAAACGUUUUGUACCACUGAGAGUCAUUGUCAAGUGAGCAUCAUCGGUCUCAGAGUGACGCCUAGUGUUAUGGCUAUUAGAGUCAUAAAUACCUCAAUUAGCGUUUUCCUUCUUUACAAAAUCAUAAAUGAUUACCGAAACAGUGUUUAAAAUGUUCUCUCAUAAGAUAAUUACUCAACUCAAUUGUCAACUCUGAACCACUCCAAAAAAUCAUACAAGAAAUAUAGUAUGAACAUUAUAUCAAACGACUUCAUACUUUCAACUCAAACACAACUCAAAUAUUAGGCUUAAUCAUGUAAUAUAGUUUUCUCAUUCAUUCCAUUAUCACACAUUGGACUAAAUCAAUCAAUCAAAUAAUAGGCAUAUACCAAAUUUAAGGUAAAAAAGGCAAUGUACCAAGCAUUCAUCUAGAGAAAAAAAUUGUUAGAAUUAAAGAUUAAUGUCCCUUAUCUUAGUUAAACAAUAAUUUUUACUUAGUUACUCCUUACAACUCUAUUCCUCACUAAUUUAACUAGAUAUAUAAAACUUGAAUUAAAAAUCUAAACAUAUCACCAUGAUCAUAGAACAACAUAGAUUCACUUUGAGCCGCAUACAUAAAAUAUUUGCCCACAUGCAAUUCAAAAAGCAAAACAAUAUAAAAAAUUAAAAAAAAAUGAACUUUCUUUGUUUUUCCUUCUAAUAAAGUGAAUUUGUACAUGUAGAGUUUUUUGUUAAGAAUACUUUUACUAACUAUCUUUAAUCUUCAAAAGAAUGAAAAUUGAAAUAAGAAAUGUUUCUACUAUCUUUUAUCUUUAAAAGAAUGAAAAUUGGAAUAAGAAAUACAUGGUAAAAAGAAAAUUUAGAAAAAAAAUUAGAGAUAUAAUAAUUUUUAUAAAAUGAACUUUAAUUAAUAAAAAAUUCAUUUAUACUUUUAUUAUUAAAAUAUUAUUAUGUUUCUCCUAUUCUAAGUUCUCACACUUAGACGUGAUGCGUAGACCUUUUUUUUUCAAAUCACAACGGGUGAUAUGAAUUUUUAACGUCGAUUUGUCAAGUUAAAAGAAAAAUAUAUUUAUAGUAGAAGACUAUGUGAAUUUCUCUUUUUACUUAGUUUUAUGCAUGGGAAAAACUUUAGCUUGAUUAUGUGUUCGAUAAAAAUUCAAAAUGAAAUAUUCUUAAGUCACAUAAUUAACAAAAUAUUUUAGCAUUCCUAAUUAAUUUCUUUCUUUUCUUUACCUUUUUUAUUUUAAAAAUAAUGACUAUGGAGUAUUUGAAAUUUAUAUUUUUAAAUUUUAUUCAACUUAUAAUAAUUAAAAUUCUGAAAAUUGUAAAGAAGGAUAAUUGGAUUUUACAGAUUUUGGAAAAAGGAAAAAAUAGCAAAAAAAAAAAGAAAUCUUUGAAAAAAAACUUUUAUAUUCUAAAUUAGUUUUCUGAAAACCAAUAUAAAAUGCAAUUUGUUUUAAUCACUUUGUUAAAAAAAAUUUAUAGAAAACCAAUUUUUGAAUCAUCUUUAAGACAAACGAUUUAAAAACUAACUAUUUUUACACAAGUUAACCCAAUAAUCACAACUUGUUGAAUGGAUAAAUAUUAGAUUUAAAAGAAUUUUCUUAUAUAUUUUUUUUUGAAAAAAAUUGGUUAUAUCUAAAAGGUCUUAAAUAAACGAUGUAAAAUUAAAGGGUAUUCUACGAAGUUUUUUCUCUGUCCCAAUGUUGAUAUCUUUAGCCAGGAAUUGAAUAAACAUUAAAAGACGACAUGUAUUCUUCUUCUUGAUUUGAUCUAUACUUGAUGUUUACACUACUACUAUCAAUUAUUAACUUACGGGUACUUUAUUUUGUAUAAAAGAAAAACAUUGUUUCAAAAGUUCAUAAGUGAUAAAAAUGUAUAAAUUUAUAGAAAAUACAUAGUUUGCAUAUUAAUAGGAGAUUGCAUAACUUUAUGUUAGAUCAGUCCCUCGUGAGGGGAGGGACUCACAAAAUAGUGUAAUCUAUCAUUUAAAAUUAGAAAAAGGAAUUGUUUAAAAAUAAUAUUAUAGAAAAAGUUAAAUGGUUGAAAUUAGCAUACCUUUAGCUUUUGACUCUUAUUAGGAGAAUUCUUUUUCAUUUUCUGAUUCAUCAUAGCAAACAAGAUUGACAUGAGAUAUCUUGUGCCAAUCCUGUCCAACUCUUGGCCUGUAUCUUUUCCAUAAUUCAGAAG